AGUGAACGCUGGCGGUAGGCCUAACACAUGCAAGACGAACGGCAGCACAGGAGAGCUUGCUCUCUGGGUGGCGAGUGGCGGACGGGUGAGGAAUACAUCGGAAUCUACUUUUUCGUGAGGGAUAACGUAGGGAAACUUACGCUAAUACCGCAUACGACCUACGGGUGAAAGCAGGGGAUCUUCGGACCUUGCGCGAAUGAAUGAGCCGAUGUCGGAUUAGCUAGUUGGCGGGGUAAAGGCCCACCAAGGCGACGAUCCGUAGCUGGUCUGGGAGGAUGAUCAGCCACACUGGAACUGAGACACGGUCAAGACUCCUACGGGAGGCAGCAGUGGGGAAUAUUGGACAAUGGGCGCAAGCCUGAUCCAGCCAUACCGCGUGGGUGAAGAAGGCCUUCGGGUUGUAAAGCCCUUUUGUUGGGAAAGAAAUCCAGCUGGUUAAUACCCGGUUGGGAUGACGGUACCCAAAGAAUAAGCACCGGCUAACUUCGUGCCAGCCGCCGCGGUAA
rnacentral:rRNA from 1 species